rnacentral:lncRNA from 1 species
UUGAAUAUUUCCUUUUUAUUUCUUUCUCUCUGUUGUCGUUGUCAUUAUCAAAUGGGUUUAUGGUUACAGACUUUAAUACACCCACAAAUAUAGAGAGAAUCUGUUUAGAUUACAUUGGGAUCACCAAAAUCUGAAAUUUGAGGGGAAAAAAAAUAAAAACCAUUACUGAUUGAUCUAUAUACACAGUAGAAAUUGAAUAUAUAGCAGUAGUGAGAAUAAUAGGUAUAAUUAUA